CUGGAUUAUUACGGACUUUGUCCGAUGCAACUGGCGUCGAACUCCGUUCGACUAAUAAUCAGCUUCGCUUUGUUGUGUCAGCUUCUGCCGACCAACCCUCGCAUCUCGCUCUUCCGGGUAUUUUUUGUGCUCCGACCCCACCCUAAGGCCCGAGGGUGGUGGCUCUUCAACCCUCGGAAGGGUCUUUCCUUCAUCACUGGUCUUCCAUCGUCCAUCCACGGGUGGAAGAAUCAGUUUUUCUUCGUCUCAUCUUCUUCUCCCUGGGGCUUCUCUUCUCGCUGGGGCGUGCCCCGAACCGAAGCAAACGAGAACAGUCGGGUGGAGGUGGACGACCGGGAGGA
rnacentral:lncRNA from 1 species